rnacentral:rRNA from 1 species
UACGAAGGGGGCUAGCGUUGUUCGGAAUUACUGGGCGUAAAGGGCGCGUAGGCGGUGUGUCAAGUCAGGCGUGAAAGCCCCGGGCUCAACCUGGGAACAGCGCUUGAGACUGGCACGCUCGAGUUCGGGAGAGGAUGGUGGAAUUCCCAGUGUAGAGGUGAAAUUCGUAGAUAUUGGGAAGAACACCAGUGGCGAAGGCGGCUCACUGGCCCGUAACUGACGCUGAGGUGCGAAAGCGUGGGGAGCAAACAGG